rnacentral:rRNA from 1 species
AUUGAACGCUGGCGGCAUGCUUUACACAUGCAAGUCGAACGGUAACAGGCCGCCAGGUGCUGACGAGUGGCGAACGGGUGAGUAAUGCAUCGGAACGUGCCCAGUCGUGGGGGAUAACUACUCGAAAGAGUAGCUAAUACCGCAUACGAUCUAUGGAUGAAAGCGGGGGACCGUACGGCCUCGCGCGAUUGGAGCGGCCGAUGUCAGAUUAGGUAGUUGGUGGGGUAAAGGCUCACCAAGCCAACGAUCUGUAGCUGGUCUGAGAGGACGACCAGCCACACUGGGACUGAGACACGGCCCAGACUCCUACGGGAGGCAGCAGUGGGGAAUUUUGGACAAUGGGCGCAAGCCUGAUCCAGCAAUGCCGCGUGCAGGAAGAAGGCCUUCGGGUUGUAAACUGCUUUUGUACGGAACGAAACGGCUCUGGUUAAUACCCGGGGCUAAUGACGGUACCGUAAGAAUAAGCACCGGCUAACUACGUG